AAGUCGUAACAAGGUUUCCGUAGGUGAACCUGCGGAAGGAUCAUUAACACGUAUCCACGUUUAAUAAUAAACUUAUCAACAAACUCGACGAACUGAACUCCCUGCUGAAUAAAACUGCGGUGUCGUAAUCCUGUCUUGGUGGGUCCCAGUAAACAUGUAGUUGUUAUAGACUUGUGUUAAGCUGAAGGCUGGCAGGCAUCGACUAUCACACUUCGACUGUGAGCCAAAACAUUUUCAGCAGGCUUACUGACUCUAUUCUCGCGUGUAGAUGCUACAAUCCUUACCAUCAUAAGGCCGAGUUUAGAACCCCAUACCAAUUUCACCAUGCUUUACCUAUUUGACUAAUUUCUAUAUUCUGAGGAGAAAUCCUUUGAAUUACUAAGAUUUAUCUUAACUAAGCACAACUCUUAGCAAUGGAUAUCUUGGUUCUC
rnacentral:misc_RNA from 1 species